rnacentral:tRNA from 1 species
GGGGAAAUGGCUCAGUUGACAGAGCACUUACCUUGCAUGUAAAAGGCCCUGGGUUCAAUCCCAAGCACCA